rnacentral:lncRNA from 12 species
AUCUAUUUGUUCCUUCAUUAAGUGAGUAAAUAUGAGCAUAUAACUAUGAUUCUUUUUUGUUCAUUUCUGGUCUUAAUUGUAGUCAACGGAUUUUAACCCCGGUAUGUCAUCAUUGAACCAAUAGACUAGCAGCUCUUAUAGAUUUAAUUUACCUAUUUAGGGGAUGGGACCAUCUAUAUUGGAGGCAAGUAAAUAAAGAGGGAAUGAAAUUACUUUCCAGGAAAGCACCAAAAAGGAGAUAUACCAGGACUAUAUUAUUAAGUGUCUACUGAAUCAGAUGAAUGGGUUAAAAGAAAAAAAAAAAAAAAGCUAGCUAAAACAGGAGCAUGCAGUGAUGCUUCCAAUGUUUGUCAAGGUAUCAUAAUGGCCCACUUUUUAAAAAUCCAAGAAGCCUUUGGGCAUUAUCUGGGACUUAGACAAAGAAGGUAAAAAGAAGGUAAAUUUGCUCUUUAUUAAAAUAUUCGGCUCUACAUACAUUCUAGCCAGAGACUAUAUUGCAGGCUUUUUAUAUUACAUGUAGAAAAAAUUCUGCCUUCAUUUCUAAUGUUCUUA